CCCCACUAUGCCUAGCCAUAAACUUUUAUUUACACCUAAAUCGCCUGGGAACUACGAGCAAAGCUUAAAACCCAAAGGACUUGACGGUACCCCACAUCCACCUAGAGGAGCCUGUCCUAUAAUCGAUAACCCCCGUUCAACCUCACCUCUUUUAGCCAAUCAGCCUGUAUACCUCCGUCCUCAGCUUACCCCGUGAGUGUAAUCCAGUAAGCUCAAUGCCCACACGCCAGUACGUCAGGUCAAGGUGCAGCAAAUGAAGAGGGAAGAGAUGGGCUACACUCUCUAAUAUAGAAAACACGAAAGACUACUUAUGAAACCUAGUCAGAAGGCGGAUUUAGAAGUAAAAAGAAAACAGAGUGUUCUUUUUAACCCGGCACUGGGGUGUGUACACACCGCCCG
rnacentral:rRNA from 1 species